rnacentral:rRNA from 1 species
GGGUUGUAAACUUCUUUUAUAUUAGAAUAAAGUGCAGUAUGUAUACUGUUUUGUAUGUAUUAUAUGAAUAAGGAUCGGCUAACUCCGUGCCAGCAGCCGCGGUAAUACGGAGGAUCCGAGCGUUAUCCGGAUUUAUUGGGUUUAAAGGGAGCGUAGGUGGGCUGGUAAGUCAGUUGUGAAAGUUUGCGGCUCAACCGUAAAAUUGCAGUUGAUACUGUCAGUCUUGAGUACAGUAGAGGUGGGCGGAAUUCGUGGUGUAGCGGUGAAAUGCUUAGAUAUCACGAAGAACUCCGAUUGCGAAGGCAGCUCACUGGACUGCAACUGACACUGAUGCUCGAAAGUGUGGGUAUCAAACAGGAUUAGAUACCCUGGUAGUCCACACAGUAAA